AAUGAGUUAUAUACAAGUCUUC
rnacentral:tRNA from 1 species